rnacentral:rRNA from 1 species
GACGUAGGAGGCGAGCGUUGUCCGGAUUCAUUGGGCGUAAAGAGCACGCAGGCGGUUUGGCAAGUCGGACGUGAAAAUCCGGGGCUCAACCCCGGACCUGCAUCCGAAACUGCCCGACUAGAGGUAGGUAGGGGAGAUCGGAAUUCCUGGUGUAGCGGUGAAAUGCGCAGAUAUCAGGAGGAACACCGGUGGCGAAGGCGGAUCUCUGGGCCUUACCUGACGCUCAGGUGCGAAAGCGUGGGGAGCAAACAGG